UUGAGCCUACGGGACGCAGCAGUGGGGAAUAUUGCACAAUGGGGGAAACCCUGAUGCAGCAACGCCGCGUGAGUGAGGAAGUAUUUCGGUAUGUAAAGCUCUAUCAGCAGAGAAUAGAAAAGAAGGUACCUGAAAAAGAAGCCCCGGCUAACUACGUGCCAGCAGCCGCGGUAAUACGUAGGGGGCAAGCGUUAUCCGGAUUUACUGGGUGUAAAGGGAGCGUAGACGGAAAGGCAAGUCAGAAGUGAAAGCCCAAGGCUCAACCGUGGGACUGCUUUUGAAACUGUCAAACUAGAGUACGGGAG
rnacentral:rRNA from 1 species